rnacentral:lncRNA from 7 species
AUUUUUAAAUACUGACGCAUGACAUAUGACCGACCGAUCCAAAAUCAAUGGUGCAUAAGUCAUCGGACGACUGGGUACCCAACCUCUAAUCUCGACCGCCCGAUUGCGUUUGGACGCAUCGGAUCGCCCAGCACGAACCAUUAUUCGUAAUCUAAUCCAAACCGUUGCUUGUUAGAUCGUCGGUCCAUGGUGAUCUCCCCCCUAGAAUACGCCGGCGACGAUGGUGCUCUACUCACCGCGGCAGCGCCAUUGCCGCUCCACACCAGAACUCACCCCCGAGCGCGAUGCUAGCCCCUGUAAGGUGCAAAACCAAAUUGAAGGCAAUACGAAACUGAGAGGGGUGCUCUUACCGCGAAUUAUACGACCAGGCACCUAGGACACGGCGCAAGGCAGAAGCGCGAUGGUAGGGGACGUUCGACGAGGAGUCCCGCCGCCACUACCCAACCCUUAGCUUGACGACACGCCAGACAGGUUUGUAAGACCCUGUUGAUCGCGUUCAUGUCCACUACAAGGUCAAUACUCCACUUCUCCUUGAGUUCACUCGCGGUGGAUCUAUGGUGGCGGGGGCCCGUUUGUCUCUGCUUUCAGCAACGAAGUGGCUCUCGGCACAACGAUCUGAGAGGAUGAGGAAGGGGGGUCUCAGCCGGGUUUUAAUAGGGCAGAGGAGCACUUAGGUUGUUGCGAGGCAUGCGCCCCCAGUGGAAUC